ensembl:lncRNA novel transcript, antisense to RFX2
GAAUAGGAAUGGAAUAGACAUGCCUCCCUGAGAAGAAAGGAAGACAGAUUCUAUACUGUUAGAAUUUGAAUCUGUGUUGCAGGGAGAUGAGGAAUUUGAAGCCAGACUCUUGGGCUGUUAAUGUAUGGCUAAGUGGUGAUGUGGUGACAACCUUGAAUGCUAGUCCUGGAGGUCAAAUCACCAGCAGCUGGUGCCAUGGGAGGCUUUGCUUAGGGGACACGGCUGGGUUCUGCCUGGAUGCUGCAUCCCAAGGGAGGCAUUGAGGUGCGGCUGUGAGGACUCCAAACCCCAUGUCCAGAAGGAUGAGUAACAGAGAUCCUGUGUCAUUCAUUGAUUUCAAUAAAAUAUUUAUUGGAUCCAUAGCAUGGGCCUGGCAUUGACCAGUCAUCAAAACACAAUUCCCUGCCCUCAUGGAGUUUCUAUUCUAGACCAUGCGGGAGGAUAGGAGCAUAUGGACAGUAAACAAGAAAUCCAGUCCUUCCAUGAGACCUCGGUACACACAGAACUCCUCCUACCACGUGCAACCUUAUUCUCGGCUGAGCAACUCAUAAAUCGCAUAACAAAAAC